ACGGAAGGCAGCAGCUAAGAAUAUUCCGCAAUGGACGAAAGUCUGACGGAGCGACGCCGCGUGGAUGAUGAAGGUCGAAAGAUUGUAAAAUCCUUUUAGGAGUGAAGAAUAAGGGGUGCAGGGAAUGGCAUCACGGUGACGGUAGCUCCUGAAUAAGCAACGGCUAAUUACGUGCCAGCAGCCGUGGUAACACGUAAGUUGCGAGCGUUGUUCGGAAUUAUUGGGCGUAAAGGGUAUGUAGGCGGUCGUGCAAGCUUGGUGUGAAAGGCAGGGGCUCAACCCCUGGACUGCAUUGAGAACUGCAAGACUUGAAUUGCUGAAGGGCAAUCAGAAUUCCUGGUGUAGGGGUGAAAUCUGUAGAUAUCAGGAAGAAUACCAAUGGCGAAGGCAGGUUACCAGCAGAUGACUGACGCUGAGGUGCGAAGGUGUGGGGAGCAAACAGGAUUAGAUACCCUGGUA
rnacentral:rRNA from 1 species